GCUGGGUGCAGUGGUGUGUGCCUGUAGGCCCAGCUACUUGGGAGGCUGAGGUGGGGGGAGGAUCGCUGAGCCCCAGGAAUUCCUGGGGCUGUAAGUGCGCUAUUGCGAUCGGGUGUCCACCCUAAUUUUGGGCAUCAGUAUGGGGGGACCUCCCAGGAGUGGGGAACCCCCCCAGGUUUCCUUAAGGAAGGGGUGAACUGUGCCCCAGGUCAAAAACGGAACAGGGGCAAAAACUCCCCGGGUGAAUAAAAAAGGGGGAUAUGGCCGUGCAAAAACCCACGGUAUCUCCGCGCGUGGGGCCAUUAAGAGAACCCCCCUCUCUU
rnacentral:SRP_RNA from 1 species